rnacentral:rRNA from 1 species
CCGACGGUGAGGGGUGAAGCCCUGGGGCGCAAACGGGAUUAGAUACCCCGGUAGUCCAGGGUGUAAACGCUGCGGGUUUGGUGUUGGGGGUCCUUAGUGGGCGCCCAGUGCCGGAGAGAAGUUGUUAAGCCUGCUGCUUGGGGAGUAUGUCCGCAAGGAUGAAACUUAAAGGAAUUGGCGGGGGAGCACCGCAACGGGAGGAGCGUGCGGUUCAAUUGGAUUCAACGCCGAAAAACUCACCAGGAGCGACGGAUAUAUGAAGGUCAAGCUGAUGACUUUACCUGAUUUUCCGAGAGGUGGUGCAUGGCCGUCGUCAGUUCGUACCGUAAGGCGUUCUCUUAAGUG